GAGUAGGAUCGAUAUCAUCAGCAAUUGUAGGUUUCUCUGUCAACAGUUACCGUCUCGGUUUUCAAAUAUGCUGUGGCGUCCAAUUAAUUGCGGUCGUAUUGGUAGUAUACAUACUUAUACUGCAGAAAAGAAAGCCGAACAACAUCU